UACGUAGGGCGCAAGCGUUUGUCCGGAAUUAUUGGGCGUAAAGAGCUCGUAGGCGGUUUGUCGCGUCUGCUGUGAAAUCCUCAGGCUCAACUUGGGGCGUGCAGUGGGUACGGGCAGACUAGAGUGCGGUAGGGGAGAUUGGAAUUCCUGGUGUAGCGGUGGAAUGCGCAGAUAUCAGGAGGAACACCAAUGGCGAAGGCAGAUCUCUGGGCCGUAACUGACGCUGAGGAGCGAAAGCAUGGGGAGCGAACAGG
rnacentral:rRNA from 1 species